UACGUAGGUGGCAAGCGUUGUCCGGAAUUAUUGGGCGUAAAGCGCGCGCAGGCGGUCCUUUAAGUCUGAUGUGAAAGCCCCCGGCUCAACCGGGGAGGGUCAUUGGAAACUGGGGGACUUGAGUGCAGAAGAGGAGAGUGGAAUUCCACGUGUAGCGGUGAAAUGCGUAGAGAUGUGGAGGAACACCAGUGGCGAAGGCGACUCUCUGGUCUGUAACUGACGCUGAGACGCGAAAGCGUGGGGAGCGAACAGG
rnacentral:rRNA from 1 species